rnacentral:rRNA from 1 species
GAUCCUGGCUCAGGACGAACGCUGGCGGCGCGCCUAACACAUGCAAGUCGAACGGUGAAGAGGAGCUUGCUCCUCGGAUCAGUGGCGGACGGGUGAGUAACACGUGAGCAACCUGGCUCUAAGAGGGGGACAACAGUUGGAAACGACUGCUAAUACCGCAUAACGUAUCGGGAUGGCAUCUUCCUGAUACCAAAGAUUUUAUCGCUUAGAGAUGGGCUCGCGUCUGAUUAGAUAG